AGCGAACGCUGGCGGCAGGCCUAACACAUGCAAGUCGAACGAAGUCUUCGGACUUAGUGGCGGACGGGUGAGUAACACGUGGGAACGUGCCUUUAGGUUCGGAACAACUCAGGGAAACUUGCGCUAAUACCGAAUGUGCCCUUCGGGGGAAAGAUUUAUCGCCUUUAGAGCGGCCCGCGUCUGAUUAGCUAGUUGGUGAGGUAAAGGCUCACCAAGGCGACGAUCAGUAGCUGGUCUGAGAGGAUGAUCAGCCACAUUGGGACUGAGACACGGCCCAAACUCCUACGGGAGGCAGCAGUGGGGAAUCUUGCGCAAUGGGCGAAAGCCUGACGCAGCCAUGCCGCGUGAAUGAUGAAGGUCUUAGGAUUGUAAAAUUCUUUCACCGGGGACGAUAAUGACGGUACCCGGAGAAGAAGCCCCGGCUAACUUCGUGCCAGCAGCCGCGGUAAAAC
rnacentral:rRNA from 1 species